rnacentral:lncRNA from 1 species
GUCUUAAUAUACGUUUGUUAUCAUCAUCACUGCCAUCAUAACCACCAUCAUCACCACGGCCAUCACCACCAUCAUCAUCAACAUCACCAUCACCAUCCUCAUCACCACCACCAUCAUCAUCACCACCAUCAUCACCACCGCCAUCAUCGCCACCACCAUCAUCAUCACCAUCACCACUCCCAUCACCACCACCCCCAUCACCACCACCAUCACCACCACCAUCAACAUCACCAUCACCACCACCAUCAUCACCACCACCAUCACCCACCUAUCACCACCACCAUCAUCAACACCACCAUCACCAGCCCCAUCACCACCCCCCAUCAACCCCAUCACCCCCAUCACCACCACCAUCAACACCACCAUCACCACCCCUAUCACCACCCCCAUCACCACCCUCAUAAUCACCACCACCAUCUCUACCAUCACCAUUACCAACCCCAUCACCACGACCAUCUUCACUGCCCCAUCACCACCCCAUCACCACCAUCAUCAUCAUCACUGUCACCACCACCACAAUUACCACACCCCCAACACCACCACCAUCAUCACCACCACCAUCACCUUCACCACCAUUACCACACCUCCAUCACCACCACCAUCACCACCACCACCACUAUCAUCAUCAUCACCAUCAUCACCACCAUCACCACACUCAUCACCACACCCAUCACCAAACCCAUCACCACCACCAUCACCAUCACCAUUAUCACCACCACCAUCACCACCAUCACCACCACCACCGCUAACAUCAUCAUCACCAUCAUCAUCACUAUCAUCAUCAUCACCAUCAUCACCACUGUCAUUAUCACCAUCAUCACCACCACCAUCACCACCAUCACCAUCAUCAUCAUCACCACCAUCAUCACUAUCAUCACCAUCAUCACCACCGUCAUUAUCACCAUCAUCAUCACCAUUGUUAUCAGGAGGAUGAGCAGGAGAAGGAAGAAAUGUUACUCGCAAUUCCAGUGUGCAAAGGAGAGAAUAAAUUUGAUCAAAUUCAGUAAAGAUAAAUAG